rnacentral:rRNA from 1 species
ACGGAGGGUGCGAGCGUUAAUCGGAAUGACUGGGCGUAAAGCGCGCGUAGGUGGUUUUUUAAGUUGAAUGUGAAAGCCCUGGGCUCAACCUGGGAACGGCAUCCAAAACUGAGAGACUAGAGUACAGUAGAGGGGGGUAGAAUUUCCGGUGUAGCGGUGAAAUGCGUAGAGAUCGGAAGGAAUACCAGUGGCGAAGGCGGCCCCCUGGACUGAUACUGACACUGAAGUGCGAAAGCGUGGGUAGCAAACAGG